rnacentral:rRNA from 1 species
UACAGAGGUUGCAAGCGUUAAUCGGAAUUACUGGGCGUAAAGCGCGCGUAGGUGGCAAGUUAAGUCGGAUGUGAAAGCCCUGGGCUCAACCUAGGAAUUGCAUUCGAUACUGGCUAGCUCGAGUUUGGUAGAGGAGAGUGGAAUUCCCGGUGUAGCGGUGAAAUGCGUAGAUAUCGGGAGGAACAUCAGUGGCGAAGGCGGCUCUCUGGACCAAAACUGACACUGAGGCGCGACAGCGUGGGGAUCAAACAGG